CCCGUCCCUCACGUGGGCUCGCAGCUGGCCACGCCGUCGCCGCGGAAGCCGCGCUGGCAGCGGCACUGGAAGCUGCCGGGGCUGUUGUGGCAGCGCGCCCGCGGGUGGCACCGCGCCAGCCCCAGCGCGCACUCGUCCACGUCGGGGCACGCGCCGUACCACCACCGGCCGCGCCCGCGGUCACUCUGGUCACUCUGGUCACUCUGGUCACUCUGGUCACUCUGGGGGUCAGCCUGACCCUCAGCCCGAUGGUCACUCUGGUCACUCUGGGGGUCAGCCUGACCCUCAGCCUGACCCUCAGCCCGAUGGUCACUCCCAUGGUCACUCCGAUGGUCACUCUGGUCACUCUGGGGGUCAGCCUGACCCUCAGCCUGAUGGUCAUUCUGAUGGUCACUCAGAUGGUCACUCUGGUCACUCAGCUGGUCAGCCUGACCCUCAGCCUGAUGGUCACUCGGCUGGUCACUUUGGGGGUCAGCCUGACUGUCAGCCUGGCCGUCAUUCUGAUGGUCACUCCGAUGGUCAGCCUGACCCUCAGCCUGAUGGUCACUCCGAUGGUCACCCAGCUGGUCACUCGGCUGGUCAGCCCAGUGGUCAUUCUGAUGGUCACUCAGCUGGCCACUCUGCUGGUCCUUCUGAUGGUCACUCCAGUGGUCACUCUGCUGGUCAGACUGGUGGUCACUUUGGUGGUCACUCUGCUGGUCACCGUGCUGGUCGUUCUGCUGGCCACCUUCCUGGUCACUCAGGUGGUCACUGUGGUCACUG
rnacentral:lncRNA from 1 species